GUCGAGCGAACUGAUGAGAAGCUUGCUUCUUAGAUGUUAGCGGCGGACGGGUGAGUAACACGUGGGCAACCUGCCCUAUAGUUGGGGAUAACUCCGGGAAACCGGGGCUAAUACCGAAGGAUUCAUUUCAUCUCCGGAUGAAAUGCUGAAAGAUGGUUCUGCUAUCGCUAUAGGAGGGGCCCGCGGCGCAUUAGCUAGUUGGGGAGGUAACGGCUCACCAAGGCGACAAUGCGUAGCCAACCUGAGAGGGUGAUCGGCCACACUGGGACUGAAACACGGCCCAAACUCCUACGGGAGGCAGCAGUAGGGAAUCUUCCACAAUGGGCGAAAGCCUGAUGGAGCACCGCCGCGGGAGUGAAGAAGGUUUUCGGAUCGUAAAACUCUGUUGUAAGGGAAGAACAAGUACAGUAGUAACUGGCUGUACCUUGACGGUACCUUAUUAGAAAGCCACGGCUAACUACGUGCCAGCAGCCGCGGUAAUACGUAGGUGGCAAGCGUUGUCCGGAAUUAUUGGGCGUAAAGCGCGCGCAGGCGGUCUUUUAAGUCUGAUGUGAAAGCCCACGGCUCAACCGUGGAGGGUCAUUGGAAACUGGAGGACU
rnacentral:rRNA from 1 species